AGAGUGAACGCUGGCGGCAGGCCUAACACAUGCAAGUCGAACGGCAGCACAGCAGAGCUUGCUCUGUGGGUGGCGAGUGGCGGACGGGUGAGGAUAACGUCGGAAUCUGCCUAUUUGUGGGGGAUAACGUAGGGAAACUUACGCUAAUACCGCAUACGACCUACGGGUGAAAGCGGAGGACCUUCGGGCUUCGCGCAGAUAGAUGAGCCGACGUCGGAUUAGCUAGUUGGCGGGGUAAAGGCCCACCAAGGCGACGAUCCGUAGCUGGUCUGAGAGGAUGAUCAGCCACACUGGAACUGAGACACGGUCCAGACUCCUACGGGAGGCAGCAGUGGGAUAUGGACAAUGGACGCAAGCCUGAUCCAGCCAUGCCGCGUGUGUGAAGAAGGCCUUACGGUUAGUAAGACUACGUUUGUACGGAAGAAAGCGACCGAGUUAACUACCGUGCGUACAGUGACGGUACG
rnacentral:rRNA from 1 species